AACGAACGCUGGCGGCAGGCCUAACACAUGCAAGUCGAGCGCCCCGCAAGGGGAGCGGCGGACGGGUGAGUAACGCGUGGGAAUAUGCCCUUUGCUACGGAAUAGUCUCGGGAAACUGGGGGUAAUACCGUAUACGCCCUUUGGGGGAAAGAUUUAUCGGCGAAGGAUUAGCCCGCGUUGGAUUAGGUAGUUGGUGGGGUAAUGGCCUACCAAGCCGACGAUCCAUAGCUGGUUUGAGAGGAUGAUCAGCCACACUGGGACUGAGACACGGCCCAGACUCCUACGGGAGGCAGCAGUGGGGAAUCUUAGACAAUGGGGGCAACCCUGAUCUAGCCAUGCCGCGUGAGUGAUGAAGGCCUUAGGGUUGUAAAGCUCUUUCAGCUGGGAAGAUAAUGACGGUACCAGCAGAAGAAGCCCCGGCUAACUGCGUG
rnacentral:rRNA from 1 species